GGCCCUACGGGAGGCAGCAGUGGGGGAUAUUGCACAGUGGGGGCAACCCUGAUGCAGCGACGCCGCGUGAGCGAUGGAGUACUUCGGUAUGUAAAGCUCCGUCAGCAGGGAAGAGAAUGACGGUACCUGACCAAGAAGCCCCGGCUAAAUACGUGCCAGCAGCCGCGGUAAUACGUAUGGGGCAAGCGUUAUCCGGAUUUACUGGGUGUAAAGGGAGCGUAGACGGAAUUGCAAGUCUGAUGUGAAAAUCCGGGGCCCAACCCCGGAACUGAAUUGGAAACUGUAUUUCUCGAGUGUCGGAGAGG
rnacentral:rRNA from 1 species